rnacentral:misc_RNA from 2 species
GGAAGGAUCAUUACCGAGUGCGGGUCCUUUGGGCCCAACCUCCCAUCCGUGUCUAUUAUACCCUGUUGCUUCGGCGGGCCCGCCGCUUGUCGGCCGCCGGGGGGGCGCCUUUGCCCCCCGGGCCCGUGCCCGCCGGAGACCCCAACACGAACACUGUCUGAAAGCGUGCAGUCUGAGUUGAUUGAAUGCAAUCAGUUAAAACUUUCAACAAUGGAUCUCUUGGUUCCGGCAUCGAUGAAGAACGCAGCGAAAUGCGAUAACUAAUGUGAAUUGCAGAAUUCAGUGAAUCAUCGAGUCUUUGAACGCACAUUGCGCCCCCUGGUAUUCCGGGGGGCAUGCCUGUCCGAGCGUCAUUGCUGCCCUCAAGCCCGGCUUGUGUGUUGGGUCGCCGUCCCCCUCUCCGGGGGGACGGGCCCGAAAGGCAGCGGCGGCACCGCGUCCGAUCCUCGAGCGUAUGGGGCUUUGUCACAUGCUCUGUAGGAUUGGCCGGCGCCUGCCGACGUUUUCCAACCAUUUUUUCCAGGUUGACCUCGGAUCAGGUAGGGAUACCCGCUGAACUUAAGCAUAUCAAUAAGCGGAGGAAAAGAAACCAACCGGGAUUGCCUCAGUAACGGCGAGUGAAGCGGCAAGAGCUCAAAUUUGAAAGCUGGCUCCUUCGGAGUCCGCAUUGUAAUUUGCAGAGGAUGCUUUGGGUGCGGCCCCCGUCUAAGUGCCCUGGAACGGGCCGUCAGAGAGGGUGAGAAUCCCGUCUUGGGCGGGGUGUCCGUGCCCGUGUAAAGCUCCUUCGACGAGUCGAGUUGUUUGGGAAUGCAGCUCUAAAUGGGUGGUAAAUUUCAUCUAAAGCUAAAUACUGGCCGGAGACCGAUAGCGCACAAGUAGAGUGAUCGAAAGAUGAAAAGCACUUUGAAAAGAGAGUUAAACAGCACGUGAAAUUGUUGAAAGGGAAGCGCUUGCGACCAGACUCGCCCGCGGGGUUCAGCCGGCAUUCGUGCCGGUGUACUUCCCCGUGGGCGGGCCAGCGUCGGUUUGGGCGGCCGGUCAAAGGCCCCUGGAAUGUAGUACCCUCCGGGGUACCUUAUAGCCAGGGGUGCAAUGCGGCCAGCCUGGACCGAGGAACGCGCUUCGGCACGGACGCUGGCAUAAUGGUCGUAAACGACCCGUCUUGAAACACGGACCAAGGAGUCUAACAUCUACGCGAGUGUUCGGGUGUCAAACCCGUGCGCGCAGUGAAAGCGAACGGAGGUGGGAGCCCCCUCGCGGGGCGCACCAUCGACCGAUCCUGAUGUCUUCGGAUGGAUUUGAGUAAGAGCGUAAAUGUGGGGACCCGAAAGAUGGUGAACUAUGCCUGAAUAGGGCGAAGCCAGAGGAAACUCUGGUGGAGGCUCGCAGCGGUUCUGACGUGCAAAUCGAUCGUCAAAUUUGGGUAUAGGGGCGAAAGACUAAUCGAACCAUCUAGUAGCUGGUUCCUGC